GGGCGCGUAGCUCAGUCGGUUAGAGCGCUUCGUUCACAUCGAAGAAGUCGUAGGUUCGAGUCCUAUCGCGCCCA
rnacentral:tRNA from 1 species